rnacentral:lncRNA from 1 species
UUUCUCUGGUCACCAACUCUCUUCUUAGGCCUCCUAAUCCUUCUUAGGACUCUUAUCUAGGAGCCCAGUAAAAGCUACGUGCACUCGUUAUAUUUGGUUUAUACUUGCUCAGUCAAAUGAACCCACUAAGUGCAGGUACUAAGCGUAAUAGGCUGGUCACUCCUUAAGCAUCCAUAGAAGUCUCGCAAGCUUAGGAUGCAUGAAGUCUGUUGAGAUGACGUUUCCUUUUUAUUCUGAUUCCGCCUGUGGAUUCUAU